rnacentral:rRNA from 1 species
GUACCGUACGAACGUUAUUCGGGAAUCACUGGGGCUUAAAGAGUACGUAGGCGGCUCGGUAGGUGAGGGUGUGAAAUCCCACGGGCUCAACCGUGGGAACUGCGCUUCAAACCACCGAGCUUGAGGGAGACAGGGGUGAGCGGAACUGAUGGUGGAGCGGUGAAAUGCGUUGAUAUCAUCAGGAACACCGGUGGCGAAGGCGGCUCACUGGGUCUCUUCUGACGCUGAGGUACGAAAGCUAGGGUAGCGAACGGGAUUAGAUACCCCGGUAGUCCUAGCUGUAAACGAUGAGCACUAGAUCGAGGAAACUUCCACAUUUUCUCGGUCGUAGCGAAAGUGUUAAGUGCUCCGCCUGGGGAGUAUGGUCGCAAAGGCUGA